GAAUUUUGAAAAGGGUUUGAGCUCCACAAAUCUCAAAUCUGAGACAAGGCUCUCUCUUCCACCACCACUCCAUCUUCUUUCUACAGCAACGGUUCUUCUGCGUCAAGAAGUAGCAAUGGUGGCUAUGGUUCAAGUGGUGGUAGCAUGCGUUGCUUGGGUUCUAACAACAUUAAGUAUUCUGGCAACCACCAGUGAAAACGAGCGCCAUAAACAUAUUCCACUAGGUUUUCGACAAGAUUUCUGUUACAGAUGUUAUUGAAGAUCUAUCAAGGCCUAAUUUGAAGAGAGAAUCUGGAUGCAGAGAUAUUUGACUACCGUUGGUUCCUGAUAAAGCAAAGGGGCUAAAGCUAUGAAUUAAUCUAUUUUUGUACUUUAUUCUUUAUUGUGGUUGGGAGUAUGGAGUUUAGGGGUUGAGAUUACUAUUUGAAGCGCAGGUUUUGGCAAUCUGUUCCAAAAUUACUUCGAUUCUUAUACUGGUACAUGUAACUAAGCUUGAGACACUUGUAUGUUAUUUGCUAAACUACUGAUGCUUGAUUGAUGUAUUUUAGAGAGUUUUUGAGUCAACAUUUGCUAGAAGAAAGUCUAUUCUAAAGGAAUGGUUCUCAAAGAAGUACAAGCAGCUCACACUCAAGUGAUUAAAUGCGGUGGUAGAAAAUUCUUACUGGAACCAUAAGGCGAGAGGCUUUUGUUACCAG
rnacentral:lncRNA from 1 species